rnacentral:rRNA from 1 species
GACGAACGCUGGCGGCGUGCUUAACACAUGCAAGUCGAACGAAGUGGCGAACGGGUGAGUAACGCGUAAUCAACCUGCCCUUCAGAGGGGAACAACAGUUGGAAACGACUGCUAAUACCGCAUACUGAAGGAGGGGAUUGCGUGGGAUUCGCUCGUUGGAUGGGUAACGGCCCACCAAGGCGAUGAUCAGUAGCCGGUCUUGUAGGAUGAACGGCCACAUUGGGACUGAGACACGGCCCAGAAUCCUACGGGAGGCAGCAGUGGGGAAUCUUCCGAAAUGGACGAAAGUCUGACGGAGCAACGCCGCGUGAGUGAUGACGGCCUUCGGGUUGUAAAGCUCUGUUAAUCGGGACGCGGUACCGGAAGAAAAAGCCACGGCUAACUACGUGCCAGCAGCCGCGGUAAUAC